UUAAGCGACUAAGCGUACACGGUGGAUGCCCUGGCAGUCAGAGGCGAUGAAGGACGUGCUAAUCUGCGAUAAGCGUCGGUGAGGUGAUAUGAACCGUUAUAACCGGCGAUUUCCGAAUGGGGAAACCCAGUGUGUUUCGACACACUAUCAUUAACUGAAUCCAUAGGUUAAUGAGGCGAACCGGGGGAACUGAAACAUCUAAGUACCCCGAGGAAAAGAAAUCAACCGAGAUUCCCCCAGUAGCGGCGAGCGAACGGGGAGGAGCCCAGAGCCUGAAUCAGUGUGUGUGUUAGUGGAAGCGUCUGGAAAGGCGCGCGAUACAGGGUGACAGCCCCGUACACAAAAAUGCACAUAUUGUGAGCUCGAUGAGUAGGGCGGGACACGUGGUAUCCUGUCUGAAUAUGGGGGGACCAUCCUCCAAGGCUAAAUACUCCUGACUGACCGAUAGUGAACCAGUACCGUGAGGGAAAGGCGAAAAGAACCCCGGCGAGGGGAGUGAAAAAGAACCUGAAACCGUGUACGUACAAGCAGUGGGAGCCUCUUAAUGGGGUGACUGCGUACCUUUUGUAUAAUGGGUCAGCGACUUAUAUUCUGUAGCAAGGUUAACCGAAUAGGGGAGCCGAAGGGAAACCGAGUCUUAACUGGGCGUUAAGUUGCAGGGUAUAGACCCGAAACCCGGUGAUCUAGCCAUGGGCAGGUUGAAGGUUGGGUAACACUAACUGGAGGACCGAACCGACUAAUGUUGAAAAAUUAGCGGAUGACUUGUGGCUGGGGGUGAAAGGCCAAUCAAACCGGGAGAUAGCUGGUUCUCCCCGAAAGCUAUUUAGGUAGCGCCUCGUGAAUUCAUCUCCGGGGGUAGAGCACUGUUUCGGCAAGGGGGUCAUCCCGACUUACCAACCCGAUGCAAACUGCGAAUACCGGAGAAUGUUAUCACGGGAGACACACGGCGGGUGCUAACGUCCGUCGUGAAGAGGGAAACAACCCAGACCGCCAGCUAAGGUCCCAAAGUCAUGGUUAAGUGGGAAACGAUGUGGGAAGGCCCAGACAGCCAGGAUGUUGGCUUAGAAGCAGCCAUCAUUUAAAGAAAGCGUAAUAGCUCACUGGUCGAGUCGGCCUGCGCGGAAGAUGUAACGGGGCUAAACCAUGCACCGAAGCUGCGGCAGCGACGCUUAUGCGUUGUUGGGUAGGGGAGCGUUCUGUAAGCCUGUGAAGGUGUGCUGUGAGGCAUGCUGGAGGUAUCAGAAGUGCGAAUGCUGACAUAAGUAACGAUAAAGCGGGUGAAAAGCCCGCUCGCCGGAAGACCAAGGGUUCCUGUCCAACGUUAAUCGGGGCAGGGUGAGUCGACCCCUAAGGCGAGGCCGAAAGGCGUAGUCGAUGGGAAACAGGUUAAUAUUCCUGUACUUGGUGUUACUGCGAAGGGGGGACGGAGAAGGCUAUGUUGGCCGGGCGACGGUUGUCCCGGUUUAAGCGUGUAGGCUGGUUUUCCAGGCAAAUCCGGAAAACCAAGGCUGAGGCGUGAUGACGAGGCACUACGGUGCUGAAGCGACAAAUGCCCUGCUUCCAGGAAAAGCCUCUAAGCAUCAGGUAACAUCAAAUCGUACCCCAAACCGACACAGGUGGUCAGGUAGAGAAUACCAAGGCGCUUGAGAGAACUCGGGUGAAGGAACUAGGCAAAAUGGUGCCGUAACUUCGGGAGAAGGCACGCUGAUAUGUAGGUGAAGCGACUUGCUCGUGGAGCUGAAAUCAGUCGAAGAUACCAGCUGGCUGCAACUGUUUAUUAAAAACACAGCACUGUGCAAACACGAAAGUGGACGUAUACGGUGUGACGCCUGCCCGGUGCCGGAAGGUUAAUUGAUGGGGUUAGCGGCAACGCGAAGCUCUUGAUCGAAGCCCCGGUAAACGGCGGCCGUAACUAUAACGGUCCUAAGGUAGCGAAAUUCCUUGUCGGGUAAGUUCCGACCUGCACGAAUGGCGUAAUGAUGGCCAGGCUGUCUCCACCCGAGACUCAGUGAAAUUGAACUCGCUGUGAAGAUGCAGUGUACCCGCGGCAAGACGGAAAGACCCCGUGAACCUUUACUAUAGCUUGACACUGAACAUUGAGCCUUGAUGUGUAGGAUAGGUGGGAGGCUUUGAAGUGUGGACGCCAGUCUGCAUGGAGCCGACCUUGAAAUACCACCCUUUAAUGUUUGAUGUUCUAACGUUGGCCCGUAAUCCGGGUUGCGGACAGUGUCUGGUGGGUAGUUUGACUGGGGCGGUCUCCUCCUAAAGAGUAACGGAGGAGCACGAAGGUUGGCUAAUCCUGGUCGGACAUCAGGAGGUUAGUGCAAUGGCAUAAGCCAGCUUGACUGCGAGCGUGACGGCGCGAGCAGGUGCGAAAGCAGGUCAUAGUGAUCCGGUGGUUCUGAAUGGAAGGGCCAUCGCUCAACGGAUAAAAGGUACUCCGGGGAUAACAGGCUGAUACCGCCCAAGAGUUCAUAUCGACGGCGGUGUUUGGCACCUCGAUGUCGGCUCAUCACAUCCUGGGGCUGAAGUAGGUCCCAAGGGUAUGGCUGUUCGCCAUUUAAAGUGGUACGCGAGCUGGGUUUAGAACGUCGUGAGACAGUUCGGUCCCUAUCUGCCGUGGGCGCUGGAGAACUGAGGGGGGCUGCUCCUAGUACGAGAGGACCGGAGUGGACGCAUCACUGGUGUUCGGGUUGUCAUGCCAAUGGCACUGCCCGGUAGCUAAAUGCGGAAGAGAUAAGUGCUGAAAGCAUCUAAGCACGAAACUUGCCCCGAGAUGAGUUCUCCCUGACUCCUUGAGAGUCCUGAAGGAACGUUGAAGACGACGACGUUGAUAGGCCGGGUGUGUAAGCGCAGCGAUGCGUUGAGCUAACCGGUACUAAUGAACCGUGAGGCUUAACCUU
rnacentral:rRNA from 1 species